rnacentral:rRNA from 1 species
CAGUCGCCACGGGAAUACAGAGGGUGCGAGCGUUAAUCGGAUUUACUGGGCGUAAAGCGUGCGUAGGCGGCUUUUUAAGUCGGAUGUGAAAUCCCUGAGCUUAACUUAGGAAUUGCAUUCGAUACUGGGAAGCUAGAGUAUGGGAGAGGAUGGUAGAAUUCCAGGUGUAGCGGUGAAAUGCGUAGAGAUCUGGAGGAAUACCGAUGGCGAAGGCAGCCAUCUGGCCUAAUACUGACGCUGAGGUACGAAAGCAUGGGGAGCAAACAGGAUUAGAUACCCCAGUAGUCCCUGUCUCUUAUAU